GAAACCACUACCAGUCUUAAAUGUAUAACUGAUGAUGACAAAGUUUUUUUUCUCUGCAUAAUAAUAGGAACCCAGGCAGUAGCAUCGUUUCACAAUGUUUCCAUCAUCAUCAUCAGUGGAUGCCUUUGCCGUCCGUAGCCUGAGAUUUCAGAUUUGCAGCAAAAAAAAUUGAUUUUCUCAUUUAUUGGAAUGCUGUGCAGGUAUUUGUACCUUGCAGCCAUCCAUUACAAUGUCACCAAGCCGUAACAAAAGCAGGAGAGGGAAAGUACAAGGCUAUGUUCCCAAAACACAAAUGACAUACCUUAUGUGGAUGAUGUGAUCAGGCUUGUAUUUGAUGAGGUAUUUGAAGAUAAGCUGAAGGAAACCCCGAUUCCAAUGGACCUGACAUCACAGUUUGAGAGACCUUCAAAGGAGGACGUGAUUGCAUGCCAUCUUCAAUGCAGGGGUCGUCGAAAGCCAAAAUUGUGACCGAUCUGAUCAGGAAGCUCCAAGCGUAUCUGGAGAACAACACACGACAGGAUGAUAACCUUAUAGUGUCGUCUUAGAUAGCACCAGCUGACAAAGCUUUGAUAUGCCAUUUAUCUGAAUAGAUAGCUGUAAGAAAUGAAUUGAACAAUUUUUUAAACAAGAGCACAAUAUGGUUACUAAAGUAUGUUUAUUUGUAUAUUGUUUAACAUUUAAAUAUAUAUUUGUAAUAAAUAAAAAAAACUUUUGACUGACUAUUAUAUUUUCUUUAAAGUUGCAUCUUUUGUUCUUUUGGGUACUUUGUUACUAUAAUGAUACUUUAGUGUUAUUGGUUUAAAAAUGUAAUAAAACUUACUCUAGUCCUGCACCUC